rnacentral:snRNA from 1 species
AAGACAGCAGGACGGUGGUCAU